GGUAGGGUGGCAGAGCGGUUUAUUGCGUCAGUCUUGAAAACUGAAGGCGAGGGCAAAACCUUCGUCCGUGGGUUCAAAUCCCACCCCUACCGCCA
rnacentral:tRNA from 1 species